rnacentral:tRNA from 1 species
GGGCGUUUAGCUCAGCUGGUAGAGCAUCGGCUUUACAUGCCGACGGUCGUCGGUUCGAUCCCGGCAGCGCCCACCA